rnacentral:rRNA from 1 species
CCCGUCACAUCACGAAAUGGGUUGUACUAGAAGUCUGCGCGCUGACCCGCAAGGGAGGCAGCGGCCCAAGGUAUGACUCAUGAUUGGGUG